rnacentral:rRNA from 1 species
UUAAGGAAGUAAAAGUCGUAACAAGGUUUCCGUAGGUGAACCUGCGGAAGGAUCAUUACAGAGCUCAUGCCCGAAAGGGUAGAACUCCCACCCUUGUGUAUUAUUACUUUGUUGCUUUGGCGAGCUGCCUUCGGGCCCUUGUAUGCUCGCCAGAGGAUAUCAAAACUCUUUUUUAUUAAUGUCGUCUGAGUACUAUACAAUAGUUAAAACUUUCAACAACGGAUCUCUUGGUUCUGGCAUCGAUGAAGAACGCAGCGAAAUGCGAUAAGUAAUGUGAAUUGCAGAAUUCAGUGAAUCAUCGAAUCUUUGAACGCACAUUGCGCCCCUUGGUAUUCCGGGGGGCAUGCCUGUUCGAGCGUCAUUUCAACCCUCAAGCUUAGCUUGGUAUUGAGCCUAUGCCAGCAAUGGCAGGUUCUAAAAUCAGUGGCGGCGCCGCUGGGUCCUGAACGUAGUAAUAUCUCUCGUUACAGGUUCUCGGUGUGCUUCUGCCAAAACCCAAAUCUUUCUAUGGUUGACCUCGGAUCAGGUAGGGAUACCCGCUGAACUUAAGCAUAUCAA